GUUUUGAUCUCCUCCAUACCUGCUUCAUGCCCUGGAGGACGGGGCUGUGGCCCCCCCACACCCUCUAGCAGAUCAUUACAUGAAGGAACCUUUUAAAAAAAAAAACAAGCGCGUCCAUGCUCACAGGUGUACACACGGGUGAUCACACCCACAAACUACACCCUUUUUGGCUCCUACCUCAAAGCACACUGUGUUCUGUUGAUCUUAUGUGCUGCACAAUAAUGUUUAACAUUUAGUAUUUACUGUCAUAUUCCCAUAUAUCAUUGUGAUGUUGUUUAUUCUAUUACUCUUGUUCUCUUCUGCUUGUUUUCUUUUUUCUUUCUUAACAGGUGAUCCAGGUGAUUGAUAUAUGCAUUUUUUUUCUCUUUCUUUUUUUUUUCUGCUCAUUCUGUUGGUUUUUGUCUUUUGCCCUUCUCCCCCGUCCCUCUUCUCAGCUGUUUCUCUUUCCCUCUUUCUUUCUCCCCUUCUUUCCCCCAGUCAAGUCUGUCCCGUAUUCAGCAAGUGAAAAUAAAAUAAACAAUAAAAGGUGAAUCAAAUGGACCAUUAUGGCAAGGCUGGGAUGGUCAAUUUGGUAAAGUAAAUCCGUUGGGCAUCUUUCUUUGCCUUUAGACAACAAUUCUGAUGGCAAAAGAGCCAAACGGGAAAGGCAAAAAAAAAAAAAAAAAGAAAAGAAAAAAAGAAAGCAUAGAAAACCCAGGGUUAACCCUAAAGUUGCUUGGAAAAGCCAAAAUCCUGCUUUACAGCUCUGGUACAGCUCUGAGGUGUUGCUGAAUUUUCUCAAUGAUCCAAAUGUUUCCUUCACACACCUGCAGGGGGAAAAAAAAGGCAAACUUAACCAAGCUCUUAAACAGCAGACAUCUUUUCAACACUUUUAUUCUGUGUGUGUGUGAAUUUUACACUCUGACCUUGAAGAAAAAUUCAAAGCAACAGCUACAGCGGCCUGUCUCUACAAGCUCAAAAAAUUAAAUGAUCUUCUUUCAAUAAAUCUUUAAUUUAGGGACUAUAGGUAAAUUAUUCACUGUCAUACAGGCCGUUUCAAUUAUCACGGGGAAAACGUGAAAUGUGUUUUUAUAACCUAGUCCUGCUUUAAACUUCUCCACAGCGUUAUUCCCGACCUGUCUGGUGUUUUCUUAAGCUUCAUGAUGUUUCUUUACAAACCUCUGAGGCCUUUA
ensembl:lncRNA